GGAUGAACGCUAGCGGCAGGCCUAACACAUGCAAGUCGAGGGGGAGGUUACUUUCGGGUAACUGAGACCGGCGUACGGGUGCGUAACGCGUAUACAAUCUGCCUUUCACUGGGGGAUAGCCCGAAGAAAUUUGGAUUAAUACCCCAUAGUAUAGUAAUACGGCAUCGUGAURCUAUUAAAGCUUAGGUGGUGAAAGAUGAGUAUGCGUUCUAUUAGCUAGUUGGAGAGGUAACGGCUCCCCAAGGCGAUGAUAGAUAGGGGUUCUGAGAGGGAUGUCCCCCACACUGGUACUGAGAUACGGACCAGACUCCUACGGGAGGCAGCAGUGAGGAAUAUUGGACAAUGGUCGGAAGACUGAUCCAGCCAUGCCGCGUGCAGGAUGACGGCCUUAUGGGUUGUAAACUGCUUUUGUAAGGGAAGAAUAAGRRCUACGYGUAGUUUGAUGACGGUACCUUAUGAAUAAGCAUCGGCUAACUCCGU
rnacentral:rRNA from 1 species